CAAUAAKCGGAGGAAAGAAACCAACAGGGAUUGCCCUAGUAACGGCGAGUGAAGCGGCAACAGCUCAAAUUUGAAAUCUGGCCCUCGGGUCCGAGUUGUAAUUUGUAGAGGAUGCUUUUGGCGCGGUGCCUUCCGAGUUCUCUGGAACGAGACGCCUUAGAGGGUGAGAGCCCCGUACGGUUGGACACCAAGCCUCUGUAAAGCUCCUUCGACGAGUCGAGUAGUUUGGGAAUGCUGCUCUAAAUGGGAGGUAAAUUUCUUCUAAAGCUAAAUAUUGGCCAGAGACCGAUAGCGCACAAGUAGAGUGAUCGAAAGAUGAAAAGCACUUUGAAAAGAGGGUUAAAUAGCACGUGAAAUUGUUGAAAGGGAAGCGUUUGCGACCAGACCUUUUCCUAGCGGAUCAUCCGGUGUUCUCACCGGUGCACUUCGCUAGGUUUAGGCCAGCAUCGGUUUCUGUAGGGGGAUAAAAGCUCUGGGAACGUAGCUCCUCCGGGAGUGUUAUAGCCCUCUGCAUAAUACCCUUACGGGGACCGAGGACCGCGCUUUUAGCAAGGAUGCUGGCGUAAUGGUCGUCAACGACCCGUCUUGAAACACGGACCAAGGAGUCGAACAUUUGUGCGAGUGUUUGGGUGUUAAACCCUCACGCGUAAUGAAGGUGAACGUAGGUGAGAGCCCUUUACGGGUGCAUCAUCGACCGAUCCUGAUGUCUUCGGAUGGAUUUGAGUAAGAGCAUAACUGUUCGGACCCGAAAGAUGGUGAACUAUGCGUGGAUAGGGUGAAGCCAGAGGAAACUCUGGUGGAGGCUCGCAGCGGUUCUGACGUGCAAAUCGAUCGUCAAAUCUGCGCAUGGGGGCGAAAGACUUAUCGAAYCAUCUAGCCGUAGCUGGUUACCGCCGAAGUUUCCCCUCAGGAAAGUAA
rnacentral:rRNA from 1 species